rnacentral:rRNA from 1 species
AGUGAACGCUGGCGGUAGGCCUAACACAUGCAAGUCGAACGGCAGCACAGGAGAGCUUGCUCUCUGGGUGGCGAGUGGCGGACGGGUGAGGAAUACAUCGGAAUCUACUUUUUCGUGGGGGAUAACGUAGGGAAACUUACGCUAAUACCGCAUACGACCUACGGGUGAAAGCAGGGGAUCUUCGGAACUUGCGCGAUUGAAUGAGCCGAUUUCGGAUUAGCUAGUUGGCGGGGUAAAGGCCCACCAAGUCGACGAUCCGUAGCUGGUCUGAGAGGAUGAUCAGCCACACUGGAACUGAGACACGGUCCAGACUCCUACGGGAGGCAGCAGUGGGGAAUAUUGGACAAUGGGCGCAAGCCUGAUCCAGCCAUACCGCGUGGGUGAAGAAGGCCUUCGGGUUGUAAAGCCCUUUUGUUGGGAAAGAAAUCCAGCUGGUUAAUACCCGGUUGGGAUGACGGUACCCAAAGAAUAAGCACCGGCUAACUUCGUGCCAGCCGUCGCAGUAA